GUCAUCUCCCCCCAUCAGUCCACCACCCACCCGAUCGGUUCUUUCCCACAACCUCCAUCGAUCAUCUCAUUCAAUCCAUUCCGAUCCCCCACACCUGAUACCCAACCAGAUCCAUCGUAAUCGCGGCUGAGUGACCGACGAACCACCACUGCACCACCAGACGACCCCUCAUAAUCGCUCGAUCGGAUCCUUUUUCACGACUCCUCGCUUCAGUUCUCACUUCAGCCCUGAGCAGGUUUUAGAAGGAAGCUACUUAUUGGCUGCAAGUGAUAAAUAAUCAGGAGCGUUGUUGCCAUGUCAAGGAAAUGUAUAUGUCUUAAAAUAUUGCACACAACUGGUCAAGAAAGUUUUGCUAGGAUACAUGCAGAGAUGGUAAUACGUCUUUGUUUUGCCUGCAAUUUGUGUUUUUUAUUGUUCCAUAUGCCGUUAUUUUUAGUGAUGUUUAUGUUAGAUUGUUAUCAUAAAUUCAGAAAAAAAAAUCAUUGCCUAUACAAGGAUUUUUCUACUUUAACCAAGUAUACACGUAAAAGAAUACAAGGACAUGUAUAUUUUGAUACAGAUGAUCACACGACAAG